CACGUAGGGCGCAAGCGUUGUCCGGAAUUAUUGGGCGUAAAGAGCUCGUAGGCGGACUGUCACGUCUGCUGUGAAAAGCUGGGGCUUAACCCUGGCCUUGCAGUGGAUACGGGGCAGACUAGAGGUAGGUAGGGGAGAAUGGAAUUCCCGGUGUAGCGGUGAAAUGCGCAGAUAUCAGGAGGAACACCGGUGGCGAAGGCGGGUCUCUGGGCCGUAACUGACGCUGAGGAGCGAAAGCGUGGGGAGCGAACAGG
rnacentral:rRNA from 1 species